rnacentral:rRNA from 1 species
GAUGAACGCUGGCGGCGUGCUUAAUACAUGCAAGUCGAGCGGACAGGCGCGGAUCUUGCGGCUUGGUCGAUUGCCGAACGGGUGUGUAUCACGCGAGUAUCCCGUACCUGUCAUUGGGAUAACUUUACGGGACUGGGGCGCUUAUCCCAUAUGAGCUCUUGCAGCACGGUGGUCGUUGGAAAGAGACGGCGUUUGUGGCUCGUCUCGAGGCAUACGCGCUGCAUGAGCUGGUUGUGAAGGUAACGGCUUAUCACGGCAAGGAUGCAUAGCCGACCUGAGAGGGUGAUCGGCCACACGGGAACUGAGACACGGUCCAGACUCCUACGGGAGGCAGCAGUAGGGAAUCUUCCGCAAUGGGCGAAAGCCUGACGGAGCAACGCCGCGUGAGUGAUGAAGGUCUUCGGAUCGUAAAACUCUGUUAUUAGGGAAGAACAUAUGUGUAAGUAACUGUGCACAUCUUGACGGUACCUAAUCAGAAAGCCACGGCUAACUACGUG